rnacentral:antisense_RNA from 1 species
CGAGAGGCCCCUGGGAUUUGGGUAAGUAGAGGCACAUGCAGACUCUGGCCACAGGGCACCUCGCGCAUGAGGGGAGUUCACCACACAAGCUGAGUGGAGGGCGGACGCAGGAGAACAGCGGUUUCUUUGGAAGCCAAGGGCAGUCAUGGAGCCCCACGCCACAGCGCUUCCCACGGGGCCACACCAUCCGGUCUGCGGAGGGAGCUGCAUUGCCGGGAAGGACCAUCUGAUUCUGGAUUCCAGCCUCACCCUGGGCCACCGCUGAGUGUCCCAAGUGGCCCCUUAGCCCCCAGGGCCAGGCGGCAUCCCAAUCCCCUUGGGAUGUUGUGCUCAGAAUGUGGCACACACACCCUGGCAGGGCCAUCCUCCUCCUCCUGCACCCGGCAUGGCCGUGGGUUCAGGGUCUCUAUCGUGGGCAGAGAUUCACAGAGUCAAGGUGAGGGUCCCAGAAGCAGCUGUG